CACUUUGGGAGGCCAAGGUGGGCAGAUGACAAGGUCAGGAGUUUGAGACCAGCCAAUAUGGUGAAACCCCAUCUCUACUAAAAAUACAAAAUUAGCGUGGCGGUGCCCGUAGUCCCAGCUACUCGGGAGGCUGAGGCAGAAGAAUUGCUUGAACCCGGGAGGCAGAGAUUGCAGUGAGCUGAGAUCACGCCAUUGCACUCCAGCCUGGGCGACGGACCAAGACUCUGUCUCAAAAAGAGAAAAAAAAAAAAAAAUUAGCCAGGCGUUGUGAAGGGUACCUAUAAUCGCAGCUCCUCAGGAGACUGAGGCAGGAGAAUUGCUUGAACCUGGGAGAUGAAGGUUGCAGUGAGCCGAGGUCACGCCACUCCACCACAGCCUCAGUGACAGAGCGAGACUCCAUCUCAAAAUAAUAAUAAUAAUAAUAAAAGAAAUGAUGCUGGAUGCAGUGGCUCAUGCCUGUAAUCUCAACACUUUGGGAGGCCAAGGCAGGAGGAUCACUUGAGCCAGGAGUUUGAGACCAGCCUGGGCAAUGUAGCAGGACCUCAUCUCUACAAAAACAUAUAUAUUUUAAAAAUUAGCCAGGUGUGGUGGUGCACGUCUGUAGUCCCAGCUACUCGGGUGGCUGAGGCAGGAGGAUCACCUCAGCUCAGGAAUUUCAGGCUGCAGUGAGGCGUGAUCACUCCACUAGACUCCAGCCUGGGCAAUAGAGCAAGACCCUGCCUCAAAGUAAAAGAAUAAAAUAUACAAUAAAAAUAAAACAGAGCAAAGAAAAUGUCCCCUGGAGCCAUGUGUGAUCCAUAAGCUUUGUGAAUCCUGACACCUCCUCUCCUUCGAGGUCGUACAAUUGUCUUCCAAAGUUGGAAAAAAAUGUUUAAAGCUGCCCACAUUCAGGAGGGAGGUCCCAGGGGUAUGAGUGCCCUCCCCCAUUUCCUGGGGAUGACAAGGGUUUCCAGCCUCCCUUGUCCUUGGGAGACUGGGGUGUGGGCAGCUCGGUGUGAGGGCCAGUGGUUGAUCUUGAAGUUUCUUUCCUACUCCCUCAUCCCUUUCCUACCCAAGCUGUGGUCCCAGCUGACUCACGUAUUAGAGGCUGCGAGUGAGUUCGGUUGCUAUGGCAACAGGGCUGCGGAGAUCCCCAGGAACCUGCUGGUCCGCCUCAUUGCCUCACCGUAUGGGGAGCUGCUUUUCCCCCUUAAAAAUGAAAUCGGAGUGGGACGGGGAGGAACCCCUUCUUCUGCUCUGGAAGGAAAUGCUUUCCUUACCUGCUCUGUCCCAAACCCCGGUUUGGAGAGGAGGGUCUGGAUGGGACCCGGACUGUGGAAAUGGAUGGAGGGAGGAGAACCCCUGCUCCCUGGUUUUAGCAGCCUUCCCAGGUCCCACAAAACACGAGGAACACGGUCUUUCUCCAGUUCCAACUUUUCUCAUCUGUUCAUUCAUUUUUUCCACAGGAGGCAUGAGGAGGUGAGAGAUGGGAAGAAUGCUGCCUGUCGUUUGGAGUCAGAAGGAAAAGAAGGCAGGAAAUACGCUAUGUGUAAACCAAAAGACAAUAAAGAUCUCCACAUUUCCAGCCCUGAGGAAAACCACUGCUGAUCUUUAGGUGUCUAUCCUUUUUGUCUUUCUUUCUUUUCUUUUCUUUUUUUUUUUUUUUUAUGAGAGGGCUCCGCUCUGCCCAGGCUGGAGUGCAGUGGCAUGAUCUCCGGCCACCACAACCUCCACCUCCCAGGUUCAAGUGAUUCUCCUGCCUCAGCCUCCCGAGUAGCUGGGAUUACAGGCACCUGCCACCAUGCCUGGCUAAUUUUUGCAUUUUUAGUAGAGACAGGGUUUCACCAUGUUUGCCAGGCUAGUCUCGAACUCCCUGACCUCGGGCUAUCCACCUGCCUCAGCCUCCCAAAGUGCUGGAAUUACAUGAGCCACCAUGCCCGCCCUUCUUUGUUUGUUUGUUUGUUUGUUUGUUUGUUUGAGACGGAGUCUCGCUGUGUCAACCAGGCUGGAGUGCAGUGGCUCGAUCUCGGCUCACUGCAAGCUCCGCCUCCCGGUUUACGCCAUUCUCCUGCCUCAGCCUCCGAGUAGCUGGGACUCCAGGCACCCGCCACCACUUCGCUAGUUUUUUUGUAUUUUUAGUAGAGACAGGGUUUCACCAUAUUAGCCAGGAUGGUCUCGAUCUCCUGACCUCGUGAUCCACCCACCUCAGCCUCCCAAAGAGCUGGGAUUACAGGCCUGAGCCACCGCGACCGGCCGCUUUUUUGUUUGUUUGUUUGUUUGUUUGUUUGUUUUGAGACGGAGUCUCCCUCUGUCGCCCAGGCUCGAGUGCAGUGGCGUGAUCUUGGCUCACUGCAACUUCUGCCUCCUGGAUUCACGCAAUUCUCCUACCUCAGCCUCCCGAGUAGCUGGGACUAUAGGCACCUGCCACCACGGCUAAUUUUUGUAUUUUUAUUUUAUUUUUAAAUUUAUUUUAUUCUUUUUUUUUUUUUUUUUGAGAUGGAGUAUCGCUGUGUCUCCCAGACUGGAGUGCAGUGGCGCGAUCUCGGCUCGCUGCAAGCUCCGCCUCCCGGGUUUAGGCCAUUCUCCUGCCUCAGCCUCCCAAGUAGCUGGGACUACA
rnacentral:lncRNA from 1 species